UACGGAGGGUGCAAACGUUGCUCGGAAUCAUUGGGCGUAAAGCGCACGUAGGCGGACCGCUAAGUCGGAUGUGAAAGCCCUCGGCUUAACCGGGGAACUGCGUCUGAUACUGGAUGGCUUGAAUCCGGGAGAGGGAUGUGGAAUUCCAGGUGUAGCGGUGAAAUGCGUAGAUAUCUGGAGGAACACCGGUGGCGAAGGCGACAUCCUGGACCGGUAUUGACGCUGAGGCGCGAAAGCCAGGGGAGCAAACGGG
rnacentral:rRNA from 1 species